UAUAAGGUGCCUGAUAAAAAGGGGUGCGUUGAUGAUGCAUUAAUGGUCAGAAUGACCUCUUAUAA
rnacentral:tRNA from 1 species